GGCAGCAGUGGGGAAUAUUGGACAAUGGGCGAAAGCCUGAUCCAGCCAUGCCGCGUGUGUGAAGAAGGUCUUCGGAUUGUAAAGCCCUGUCUUUUGGGGGGAAGGGGACUGAAUUAAUACUUUGCUGUUUUGACGUUUCCGAGCCAAUAACCACCGGCUAACUCUGUGGCAGCGCCCGCGGUAGUUUUAAUGGUGCAAGCGUUAAUCUGAAUUACUGUUCGUAUCGCACGCGUAAGUGGUUCGUUCAGUUGGAUGUGAGAUCCCCGGGCUCGACCUGUGAACUGCAUUCAAAACUGACGAACUUCAGUAUGGAACAGGGAGGUGGAAUUUCCUGUGCAACAACGAAAUGCGUAAAUGUAACUUUGAACACCGUUGCUGAAGGCGACCUCCUGAACUGAUACUGACACUGAGGAGCGAAUGCGUGGGGAGUCCACACGAUUAAAUACCCUGACUAGUCCGCCCCGUAGACCAUGUCUCCUAGCCGUUGGGAGCCUUGAGCUCUUAGUGGCUGGGCUAACGCAUUACAUUAACCGCCUGGGGAGUAUUGCCGCAAUCUCUAGACUCAUCUGAAUUGACGG
rnacentral:rRNA from 1 species